AGUAAAAAGAUGGCGUUAAAAUCCUAAUUUCCAUAAAAAAAAUGCAGAAUAUGUGGCAGAUAAGCAGUGUGCUAAAAGUAUUACUACUCAGUUGGAGCAGCAGGAGUUCAGAGAAUAUCCACAGAUCUAGCCGAAAUGCUGCAGGUUCAAACGGAGGGAUGACAGAGCACGAUACCGCCAAAGGAGUCUGCCGGAAGUCACUAUGCCCGUCUGUUUUAAAAUUUCUGCCCUUUUCUGGUCUUUAUUAAAGGGACACUAUGAUCUAAGCCAAGGAGGUAGGCCGAGGGUGGAGCCAAACGCCAACCUGGCCAGUCAGCAUCUCCUCAUAGAGAUGCAUGGAAUCAAAGCAUCUCUACGGCAGAAAAGUUCAGCAGUUCCAUGCAGAGCAUAGAGAUGCCGAACGUCAG